rnacentral:tRNA from 1 species
AGCGAGGUAGGACAGCCAGGAGUGUCCGUCGGGCUCAUAACCCGGAGGUCGGAGGUUCAAAUCCUCCCCUCGCUA